rnacentral:rRNA from 1 species
AUUGAACGCUGGCGGCAGGCCUAACACAUGCAAGUCGAACGAGUGGCGGACGGGUGAGUAAUGUCUGGGAAACUGCUUGAUGGAGGGGGAUAACUACUGGAAACGGUAGCUAAUACCGCAUACCAUCAGAUGUGCCCAGAUGGGCUUAGCUAUUUGGUGGGGUAACGGCUCACCAAGGCGACGAUCCCUAGCUGGUCUGAGAGGAGGACCGGCCACACGGGAACUGAGACACGGUCCAGACUCCUACGGGAGGCAGCAGUGGGGAAUAUUGGACAAUGGGCGCAAGCCUGAUGCAGCCAUGCCGCGUGUAUGAAGAAGGCUUUCGGGUUGUAAAGUACUGUCAGCGGGGAGGCGUUACCCGCAGAAGAAGCACCGGCUAACUCCGUGCCAGCAGCCGCGGUAAUUC